CGGUCUGCAAAGGAACAACCAAAAUGCAAGAAGAAGCUCGCCUCAUUUAAUACAGGACGGCAAGUUACCAUCAUUGUUUGUUUGCUAUGUCAAUAAUAAUAAUGUGAGGGUUGUGGCGCCGAUUCGUAUCCCACCCGAGUGCACGUCGUCGUUGUAUCCCUGGGCAACUUAACCCACACUGCCCAUAAAUGGAUGUGGUUGGAUGUUCGGUAGUGGUCGCAGGGGCCGCAUUAAUGCAUUAUUAUUUUUUUGCCUGUAUUAUUAAUUUAGAAUCCUUGUUAAUAUGUACUUUUUAUAUAGACAGUACAUUUUUAAUUCUGUUAAAGAUAAAUUCAUUUUGUCAACUAUUUAUGUUUGGGUUUUGUUUUGUUUUUUUAUACAUACAGAGAACAAAACGCCAGGGAGGCUGUGUUGUGAAAUUGGAGGAGUUUAUUCUCAGUCAGCUGUAUAUUGUGGGUGCACUGGGCAUUGGGAUUGCAUUUUUACAGCUAUUUGGGAUGAUCUUUACUUGCUGCCUUCAUCAAAAUCUGAAAGAUGAGCCAUACUGAUGUUGUAUUUUUUUAGUGUCAUUACCUCAUGAGCGCUUGGAGACUUACGUGCCUUCAAUUGACAAGUUUGGACUUUAAAAUUGUACACGCUUGAGCCACUUUUAUGCUGCUGGGCAGCACUUCACUGCAAAAUGUUGUCUUCCUUUCUAUGUGGAGGAUAAUGCAGAAAAAUGCUAGCUUCAUGUGGUUUUAUGUUAUUUACAUCGACUGCACUGCUGUUUUUGGUGUGUCACAUGGUUUAAAGAAAUGCACGCUCAAUAUAAUAAGAACAAUAAAAAUCAUUGUGUUAGCGUGAUUGCCAAUAAAAAGGCAUUUUAUUAUUUCUAUGUAUUGCUGACAAUGCAUUUUAGUGAGAAUGUCAUACAAGUUUGAGGGAUUAGAUUUUUUUUUAAUCAAACUGAUAAACUUUUUUUGUUUUUGCAACUAUUGACUAAUUUUGAAUGAGAUGCCUACAACAUGUUCCAAAAAAGCUGAGACUGUAUGUUUACCACUGUGUUACAUCACUUUUCCUUUUAACAACAUAAUAAGCGUCUGGGAACUGAGACCACCAUUGUUGAAGCUUUAUAAGUGGAAUUAUUUCCCAUCCUUGAUUUGAUGUACAACUUCAGUUGCUCAACAGUCCAGGGUCUCCGUUAUCAUAUUUUGUGCUUCAUAAUGCAAUGCAAUUUUCAUUGGGAGACAGGUCUGGACUGCUGGCAGGUCAGUCUAAUACUCACACUCUUUAAGUACAAUGCAAUACUGUGCAGAAUGUAUCUCGGCAUUGUCUUACUGAAAUAAGCAGGGA